rnacentral:misc_RNA from 1 species
AACUCAAAAUAAUGGACAUCCAUUUAGCUAUAUAUCUUUUUAUAUAUAUAUGUAAAAAAAAUGAAGAGGAGAAUCCGUUUGGAAAAAAAAUGUAUUUGGUCAGCUCCUAAACUGAAAGCUUGUUGCUGGCAAUGCAUUCAACCAGCCACCCAAAACUGUGAUUUUAUGUACAAUACAAUCAGCAUUCUUUCCACGCAUCAUAUCAUUUUUCACUACCAUAAUCCUACUGUACCCAUUAAUAAAUUGCCUGUUUUAAGAGACUCAAACCACUUGGUUCAUCUGCAACACCAUCUGAAUGAUACGACGAUAUGUCCACAGGCGGAGAGAUACAGCCAGCGCUGCCUUUGGAUUGGAAAGACUUCUUCUGCUGAUCAAGAUAGAUCACUACCACUGAUAUAUCAUCGUGGAAAUGACGCCUAAUUCCCUUCUCUAUUUUCUUUAUAUCCUUGUACCUCAUUUCCCUCUUCUUACCAGCUUCCUUAAGGGCUGCUCCCACCAGUCUCUUAGCGAUUCCAGCUCUUGGGUUUCUAAAGACUAUUUCCACAGCAGCUUCAUCACUUAGUUGUUCCCAGAGGCCAUCAGAAGCAAAUAUCACAAAUAAGUCAUGCGUUCUAAUUCUUCUAGUAACUAUGGAAGGUUCUGCAGUCAUUACAGCCCGCUUCAAAGGAACAGGAUUUCCAUAUUUUUGAAAGAUAGGAUCUCUGUUUAACUCCGGUCUCUCAAGAUCUAUUGGAGAUGCCUAUCUU